rnacentral:rRNA from 1 species
GACGAACGCUGGCGGCGUGCUUAACACAUGCAAGUGGAGCGACGAACCAGGGCUUGCCCUGGGGCAAAGCCGCGAACGGGUGAGUAACACGUGGGUAACCUGCCCCGAAGACCGGGACAACCCGAGGAAACUCGGGCUAAUACCGGAUGUGGUCACUCUUCAUAAGGAGAGAGAGCAAAGGAAGCUUCGGCCUCCGCCUCGGGAUGGGCCCGCGGCCCAUUAGCUUGUUGGUGAGGUAACGGCUCACCAAGGCUUCGAUGGGUAGCUGGUCUGAGAGGACGAUCAGCCACACUGGGACUGAGACACGGCCCAGACUCCUACGGGAGGCAGCAGUGGGGAAUCUUGCGCAAUGGGCGACAGCCUGACGCAGCAACGCCGCGUGAGGGAAGAAGGCUUUCGGGUCGUAAACCUCUUUCAGGAGGGACGAAGCUUCGGGAGUGAAUAGCUUUCCGGAGUGACGGUACUUCCACAAGAAGCCCCGGCUAACUACGUGCCAGCCGCCGCAGUAA